UAAGCUUGCUGAUUGGUUCACGGGAGUGA
rnacentral:sRNA from 1 species